rnacentral:rRNA from 1 species
AUGGCGGGGGCGCAGCUGCGGCGCGUGGUGGCCGUGCUCCUCCUGGCCUGCUGCUGCAGCAUGGCGCCGGCGGCGACGGCGAGGGGGAUGUCGGCGGGGAUCGCGCACAACAUCACGUCCUUCCUCAGCGGCCACCCGGAGUACAAGCAGUACAACCGGUACCUGACGGAGACGCGGGUGUGCGACGAGAUCAACGCGCGCGCGGGGGUCACGGUGCUGGUCCUCGGCGACGGCGCCAUGUCCACGCUGGUGUCGGACGCCGGGGCCGACCUGGGCGCCAUCAAGAACGCGCUCCGCCUGCACGCGCUGCUCGACUACUGGGACGUCAAGAAGCUCAAGGCCCUCCCCGCCGGCGCCGACACGCUCACCGACACCUUCUACCAGGCCGCGGGCGGCGCGGCCACCAGCGCCACGGGCAGCGUCAAGAUGGCCAAGCUGGACGGCGGCGGCUUCGGCUUCGCGUCCGCCGCCAGCCCCGGCGACGCCUACGACGCCACCUUCGCCAAGGCGCUCAAGCAGACGCAGUACGACUUCGCGGUGCUGGAGGUCACGGCGCCCAUCGAGUUCGACGGCCUCUUCGACGGGCCGACCGUCGCCAACCUCACCAAGCUGCUGGAGAAGGCCGGCUGCAAGCGCUUCGCGGCGCUCAUCGCCAGCACGGGCGUGCUCAAGGACUACCAGGCGGCGAUGGCGGACGAGGCCGGGCUGACCCUGUUCGCGCCCAAGGACGAUGCGUUCCUGGGCAAGGGCGCGCCGGACGUGGACGCGAUGCCCCGCGCCGACCUCGUCGCGCUCCUGCGGUACCACGCGCUGCCGGGGUACAACCCGAGGCCGUCGCUCAAGCUGGUGAAGGCGUCGGCCCGGCCGUUCCGCACGCUGGCGUCCACGGCGGGCGGGAAGUACAACGUGUCGGUGGUGGCCCGCGGCGACGACGUGUCGCUCGACACCGGCCUCCGCAAGUCCCGCGUGGCGGAGACGGUCCUGGACGACACGCCCGUGUGCGUGCUCACGGUGGACCGCCUCCUGAUGCCCCUGGAGCUCUUCGCCGGCGCGCCCGCGGAGGCCCCCUCGCCGACGCCCGCGCCGGCGCCGUCCCCCGCGGACGCGACGCCGAGCUCCCCGCCGGCGCCGCCGCCAGCCGACGCCCCGUCGGAGGCCGCCGCGGACCACGUUCACAAGGACGUCAAGGCGUCGUCUGCCUCCGCGCUGUCGGUCGGCGCGCUCGCCGCGGCCGCGUGCUCCGCCGUGCUCGCCUCUCUACUGUGA